UGCAACUCGACUCCAUGAAGUCGGAAUCGCUAGUAAUCGUGGAUCAGAAUGCCACGGUGAAUACGUUCCCGGGCCUUGUACACACCGCCCGUCACACCAUGGGAGUGGGUUGCAAAAGAAGUAGGUAGCUUAACCUUCGGGAGGGCGCUUACCACUUUGUGAUUCAUGACUGGGGUGAAGUCGUAACAAGGUAACCGUAGGGGAACCUGCGGUUGGAUCACCUCCUUACCUUAAAGAA
rnacentral:rRNA from 2 species